rnacentral:rRNA from 1 species
UCCGUACGUGAACCUGCGGAGGAUCAUUAG